GAUGAACGCUGGCUACAGGCUUAACACAUGCAAGUCGAGGGGAAACGACGGGGAAGCUUGCUUCCCCGGGCGUCGACCGGCGCACGGGUGAGUAACGCGUAUCCAACCUGCCUCUGACUGAGGGAUAACCCGUCGAAAGUCGGCCUAAUACCUCAUGGCAUCGUCUGCGGGCAUCCAACGACGAUUAAAGAUUUCAUCGGUCAGAGAUGGGGAUGCGUCUGAUUAGCUUGUUGGCGGGGUAACGGCCCACCAAGGCGACGAUCAGUAGGGGUUCUGAGAGGAAGGUCCCCCACAUGGGAACUGAGACACGGUCCAAACUCCUACGGGAGGCAGCAGUGAGGAAUAUUGGUCAAUGGGCGAGAGCCUGAACCAGCCAAGUAGCGUGCAGGAUGACGGCCCUAUGGGUUGUAAACUGCUUUUAUGCGGGGAUAAAGUGAGGGACGUGUCCUUCAUUGCAGGUACCGCAUGAAUAAGAACCGGCUAAUUCCGUG
rnacentral:rRNA from 1 species